rnacentral:tRNA from 1 species
GAGGGUAUAGCUGAAGUGGUAGAGUGCAUGCUUAGCAUGUACGAGGUCUGGGGUUCAAUCCCCUGUACCUCCA